rnacentral:rRNA from 1 species
GAUGAACGCUGGCGGCGUGCCUAAUACAUACCAGUCGAGCGAACGGACGAGAAGCUUGCUUCUCUGAUGUUAGCGGCGGACGGGUGAGUAACACGUGGAUAACCUACCUAUAAGACUGGGAUAACUUCGGGAAACCGGAGCUAAUACCGGAUGAUAUUUUGAACCGCAUGGUUCAAAAGUGAAAGACGGUCUUGCUGUCACUUAUAGAUGGAUCCGCGCUGCAUUAGCUAGUUGGUAAGGUAAUGGCUUACCAAGGCAACGAUGCAUAGCCGACCUGAGAGGGUGAUCGGCCACACUGGAACUGAGACACGGUCCAGACUCCUACGGGAGGCAGCAGUAGGGAAUCUUCCGCAAUGGGCGAAAGCCUGACGGAGCAACGCCGCGUGAGUGAUGAAGGUCUUCGGAUCGUAAAACUCUGUUAUUAGGGAAGAACAUAUGUGUAAGUAACUGUGCACAUCUUGACGGUACCUAAUCAGAAAGCCACGGCUAACUACGUG